rnacentral:rRNA from 1 species
UACGUAGGGGGCAAGCGUUGUCCGGAAUUAUUGGGCGUAAAGAGCGUGUAGGCGGUCCGGUAAGUCAGCUGUGAAAGUCAGGGGCUCAACCCUUGAAUGCCGGUUGGAUACUGUCGGGCUAGAGUCCGGUAAGGAGGCGAGUGGAAUUCCUGGUGUAGCGGUGAAAUGCGCAGAUAUCAGGAGGAACACCGGUGGCGAAGGCGGGUCUCUGGGCCGAUACUGACGCUGAGGAGCGAAAGCGUGGGGAGCGAACAGG